rnacentral:rRNA from 1 species
AAUAUUUUUCAAUGGUGGCAACUCUGUACUAGCCACGCCGCGUGAUGUAAGAUGACCCUACGUGUUGUAAACUUCCUUUCCUAGGAAAUAAAGUGAGCCACGUCUGCCCUCUUACACGUACCUCCCCAAUUAUGAGUGGCUACCUCCCUGCCCGCUGCCGCGGUAAUACGGAGGUUCCGAGCGUUAUCCGGAUUUAUUGGGUUUAAAGGGUGCGCAGGCGGGAGAUUAAGUCGGUGGUGAAAUUUUGGAGCUGAACUGUAACAGUGCCAUGGAUACUGGUGUCCUUAGGUGAAGAUGAAGUAGGCGGAAUUUGUGGUGUAGCGGUGAAAUGCGUAGAUAUCACGAGGAACUCCGAUCGCGUAGGCAGCUUACUAAACCAUAACUGACGCUCAUGCACGAAGGCGUGGGGAUCAAAC